UACGUUGGGGGCAAGCGUUAUCCGGAUUUACUGGGUGUAAAGGGAGCGUAGACGGCCAGACAAGUCUGAAGUGAAAAUCCAGCGCUUAACGUUGGAAGUGCUUUGGAAACUGCCGGGCUAGAGUGCAGGAGGGGCAGGCGGAAUUCCUAGUGUAGCGGUGAAAUGCGUAGAUAUUAGGAGGAACACCAGUGGCGAAGGCGGCCUGCUGGACUGCAACUGACGUUGAGGCUCGAAGGCGUGGGGAGCAAACAGG
rnacentral:rRNA from 1 species